rnacentral:rRNA from 1 species
UGCAUAUCAAUAAGCGGAGGAAAAGAAACUAACAAGGAUUCCCCUAGUAACUGCGAGUGAAGCGGGAAGAGCUCAAAUUUGAAAUCUGGCGGUUCCGCCGCCCGAGUUGUAAUCUGGAGAAGCGUUUUCCGUGCCGGACCGUGUACAAGUCCCUUGGAACAGGGCGUCAUAGAGGGUGAGAAUCCCGUCUUUGACACGGACUCCCGGUGCUCUGCGAUGCGCUCUCGAAGAGUCGAGUUGUUUGGGAAUGCAGCUCAAAAUGGGUGGUAAAUUCCAUCUAAAGCUAAAUAUUGGCGAGAGACCGAUAGCGAACAAGUACCGUGAGGGAAAGAUGAAAAGCACUUUGGAAAGAGAGUAAAACAGUACGUGAAAUUGUUGAAAGGGAAACGCUUGAAGUCAGUCGCGUCUUCUGGGACUCAGCCUUGCUUCUGCUCGGCGCACUUCCCAGUUUGACGGGUCAGCAUCGGCUCUGGGGGGCGGACAAAGGCGUGGGGAAGGUGGCAGCUCCGGCUGUGUUAUAGCCCCGCGCUACGCGUCCCCCGGGACCGAGGAAUCCGGCGCUCGCGCCUGGGAUGCUGGCGUAAUGGCUUUAAACGACCCGUCUUGAAACACGGACCA